ACGGGUGAGUAACACGUGGGUAACCUGCCUCAAAGAGGGGAAUAGCCUCCCGAAAGGGAGAUUAAUACCGCAUAAUAUGUUUUGAUCGCAUGAUCUUAACAUCAAAGGAAUUUUCUUCGGAUUAUUUCACUUUGAGAUGGACCCGCGGCGCAUUAGCUAGUUGGUGAGGUAAAGGCCCACCAAGGCAACGAUGCGUAGCCGACCUGAGAGGGUGAUCGGCCACAUUGGAACUGAGACACGGUCCAGACUCCUACGGGAGGCAGCAGUGGGGAAUAUUGCGCAAUGGGGGAAACCCUGACGCAGCAACGCCGCGUGAAUGAUGAAGGCCUUCGGGUUGUAAAGUUCUGUCUUCUGGGACGAUAAUGACGGUACCAGAGGAGGAAGCCACGGCUAACUACGUGCCAGCAGCCGCGGUAAUACGUAGGUGGCAAGCGUUGUCCGGAUUUACUGGGCGUAAAGGAUGCGUAGGCGGACAUUUAAGUCAGAUGUGAAAUACCCGAGCUUAACUUGGGUGCUGCAUUUGAAACUGGGUGUCUAGAGUGCAGGAGAGGUAAGUGGAAUUCCUAGU
rnacentral:rRNA from 1 species